rnacentral:rRNA from 1 species
GACGAACGCUGGCGGCGUGCUUAACACACGCAAGUCGAACGGAAAGGCCCUGCUUUUGUGGGGUGCUCGAGUGGCGAACGGGUGAGUAACACGUGAGUAACCUGCCCUUGACUUUGGGAUAACUUCAGGAAACUGGGGCUAAUACCGGAUAGGAGCUCCUGCUGCAUGGUGGGGGUUGGAAAGUUUCGGCGGUUGGGGAUGGACUCGCGGCUUAUCAGCUUGUUGGUGGGGUAGUGGCUUACCAAGGCUUUGACGGGUAGCCGGCCUGAGAGGGUGACCGGCCACAUUGGGACUGAGAUACGGCCCAGCCUCCUACGGGAGGCAGCAGUGGGGAAUAUUGCACAAUGGGCGGAAGCCUGAUGCAGCAACGCCGCGUGCGGGAUGACGGCCUUCGGGUUGUAAACCGCUUUCGCCUGUGACGAAGCGUGAGUGACGGUAAUGGGUAAAGAAGCACCGGCUAACUACGUG